CAUCAAGGCAAAAAAAAUUGCGCUUUUCUCCUCUCACACAAAGUCACGCGGAUUCUCCUGUCUUCAUCGCCUCUUGUAAACGCAGACACCGAAACUGAAACCCUAUUCUUCAUGUUUGAAUCAUUCUUCUCACGCUCAAGAUCCAUUCUCCUCACAUCUAAACCCUAUUCGAAGCCCCAUUACUUGUCUGUGGUAAAGUCGAUCGAAAUAGUGAAGCAACCGCAUGGAAGACGAAGCCCCUUCCUCCCAAGUCGCAUCGCCGCUACACUAUCACUCUCCUCCCUGGCGACGACAUCGGCCCCAAAGUCAUCUCUAUCGCCAAAGACAUUCUUCUCCUUGUUGGUUCCCUAGAAGAUUCGGGAAGGGCUUUGAGUAUUUGCAAAUCUAAGAUCGGCUACUAUAUUUCCUCAGUUAGUGGAUGCUUCAACUCUGAAGAGAGAGAUUGCUGAAAGGGUUGAUCUCAUGGUUGUGAGGGAACUCACUAGAGGUCUAUUGUGUUAUGGUUUCCUAAUGUCCCUAGGAUAGUUAAAUUUUGAAAUGUUAAUUCUCCAUCCAUUUUCUUUAACUGUGGCCAUGUGUAGCUAAUUCACUAGACUAAGUCUUGUUGUUGUUUAGGUAUAUAUUUUGGAAAACCCAAGGGCUUUGGCACCAAUGAAAAUGGUGGAUUGAUUGGCUACAAUAUUGAGAUUUAUGCCGCACAUGAGGUAUCUUACUAUUAUAUAAGGGUUUUAUAGAUAAAUAAUGCAUGCCCAACUGGUGAGCAAUAAAAGUAUAUGAAUUACAAUAAAUUUAUGAAGGUUGAUGAACUUGGUUGAAUAUUUCUGGGAAAGAGAAUUUGUGUGGAGUUUCUUGUACAAUCAUUCUGAAUGAUUUGAUCGACUAAUGCCUAGUUAUGAAAAUUAAAAAAUAUCUCUAAUUUGACUAAAAAUUGUAGUUGCAUCAGUUGGGAUUUUCUUAAGAUCUUUAGUUGAAACAGUGAAUGUUUUGUUAGGAGGAGUUAAGAGAGAUGGAAGGGGAAGUUAGUUGAGAUAGUUAGGAUAUCAAUUAGUUGGUUAACACAUUAGGCAAGUAAAUAAAGGAAUGUAAGGGAAGGGGAUUCAUUCAGUCUUGUAUCAUUUCAUAAUUGAGCUGUUAUAUGUGGAAGGAGACAUCUUUUGCAAAGAGGAAAUCACUGGAGGAGAGAUAUCCCUCAUUUGUUGUGUCAAUUCAUUCAACUCAAUAAAAUAUUUUUCUUUUAACAAUUUCUAGUCUAGUUUCAUAACACAUUGUCUAGGAGGAAGGAUAAGGAAGUGUACUUUAUGUAGAUGUGAAAUUCACUUUUUCUUUCCCUCUGAAGAGACUUUUUGUUUUAUUAUGGAGUUGUAUCUUUUAUCUAAUUUUUGUAUUAACUCUAGAUGUAUGAUUCUCUGAUUAAUAAUAAUUUGUAUAUCAAAUUGAUUGCAUAGCUCGUUUUGCAUUUAAGAUUGCUCAAAAGCAUAGUGGGAAACUUUGCUCUGUUGACAAAGCCAUUGUACUAGAGGUAUGUAUUGUUUGAUUAAUCCACAAAACUCAUUCAGGUAUAGGAAGAAAAAAAAAAGUUCAUUGCAGAUGCCUUCCAACUGAAUAUGAUAUUUGUAGACACCCAAUUUCGUCCGGGGGACUUACAAACAAGGGAAUGGACCUCUUUUUUUGAAGGGAAGGAGCUCUCGAAGCAUGCAAGCUAAAGGAUAGGACAUCAGAGGGCCCAAAAUCCCAAAUCAACUUUUUAGUGGCCCGGAACGGGCCGUUCCAGAAUUAGAACGGGCCGUUUCCAAGUCCAGAACGGGCCGUUUUAGAUUUGGAACGGGU